AUUGAACGCUGGCGGAAGGCCUAACACAUGCAAGUCGAGCGGAGCGGCGGACGGGUGAGGAAUGCCUAGGAAUCUGCCUGGUAGUGGGGGAUAACGUCCGGAAACGGGCGCUAAUACCGCAUACUAUCAGAAGAGCCUAGGUCGGAUUAGCUAGUGGGGGUGGGAAAGCCCUACCAAGGCGACGAUCCGGAACUGGUCUGAGCGGAUGAUCAGUCACACUGGAACUGAGACACGGUCCAGACUCCUACGGGAGGCAGCAGUGGGGAAUAUUGCACAAUGGGCGAAAGCCUGAUCCAGCCAUGCCGCUUGUGUGAAGAAGGUCUUCGGAUUGUAAAGCACUUUAAGUUGGGAGGCGUUACCAACAGAAUAAGCACCGGCUAACUCCGUGCCAGCAGCCGCGGUAAUAC
rnacentral:rRNA from 1 species